CUGGAACUAAGGCUAUGGUAACUAUUAGGGGUUGGCCUAACACCGGAUCCUAUACAGAAGACCUUUACGAGUAAAAUCAUAUCAAGUGUUUUGUUUAGGAGUAAGCCUUUCAAGAAAAAUUCCUGGCAUCGGAUUGUAGUACUUAUUGCUAAUGAAACAGCCUAUAAAGCGGUGUUGAUCGCUGUUUAGGGGUUGUACGUGUCAAAUCCAGUGUGGGCGAUUCUAGCGCAUAAAAACAACACCAUCACGU